UGAAAUGUUGAAUAACAUCUAUUUGUUUUGAUGUUGUAGGUUUUUAUUCUAGAUCUAGAGAAUCUUUUCAAUCCGAAAUACAUUUUGUACGAUGGACAAGACUCGGUAAAGGUUCAAUGUCAGUGAUUGUCAUCAAAGAAUGACAUUUCAAUGUAUGGGAAAGUACUGGAGGACAUUCAAAUCAAGAUUGAGAAAACAAAUUAGAACUCAAGUUGAAUCAUCUGUGAAUAGAGCACGCACUAUUACCCUUCUUAGAACAAAGAAUGUCAACUCUGAAGAAGUCUGGGUUAAAUUUGUUGAGGAUACUCGUUCUGCAGAUUUUCAUGUAAGUAUAUUUGCAUGUAAAGCUUAACCCUUAUUUUAAUUAUUGUUGUUUUAUACUUCGUUCUUUUUUCAAUAGGAGAAAAGUUCCAGGUUCAGCAACAUGCGAACUAAUCAGAAGCUUUUCCAUACUAUGGGUAGAAAGGGUUAUCCACGUGUGGCUUAUGAAAUGAAGAAAAAGAAUCCACAUUUAAAAGGGUGAAGAACAGAAGUAUGGAAAUAUGGACAUCUCAGAAAAGAUAGAAAACCAAUUAAUGAAGCAGUUGCCGAAACAUUGUAUGUGUAUUAUACCAAUG